rnacentral:rRNA from 1 species
UACGAAGGGGGCUAGCGUUGUUCGGAAUCACUGGGCGUAAAGGGCGCGUAGGCGGCCUGAUAAGUCGGGGGUGAAAGCCUGUGGCUCAACCACAGAAUUGCCUUCGAUACUGUUAGGCUUGAGACCGGAAGAGGUAAGUGGAACUGCGAGUGUAGAGGUGAAAUUCGUAGAUAUUCGCAAGAACACCAGUGGCGAAGGCGGCUUACUGGUCCGGUUUUGACGCUGAGGCGCGAAAGCGUGGGGAGCAAACAGG